rnacentral:rRNA from 1 species
GCAAGUCGAACGAUGAUGCCCAGCUUGCUGGGCGGAUUAGUGGCGAACGGGUGAGUAACACGUGAGUAACCUGCCCUUGACUUCGGGAUAACUCCGGGAAACCGGGGCUAAUACCGGAUAUGAGCCGUCCUCGCAUGGGGGUGGUUGGAAAGUUUUUCGGUCAGGGAUGGGCUCGCGGCCUAUCAGCUUGUUGGUGGGGUGAUGGCCUACCAAGGCGACGACGGGUAGCCGGCCUGAGAGGGCGACCGGCCACACUGGGACUGAGACACGGCCCAGACUCCUACGGGAGGCAGCAGUGGGGAAUAUUGCACAAUGGGCGAAAGCCUGAUGCAGCGACGCCGCGUGAGGGAUGAAGGCCUUCGGGUUGUAAACCUCUUUCAGCAGGGAAGAAGCGCAAGUGACGGUACCUGCAGAAGAAGCGCCGGCUAACUACGUGCCAGCAGCCGCGGUAAUACGUAGGGCGCAAGCGUUGUCCGGAAUUAUUGGGCGUAAAGAGCUCGUAGGCGGUUUGUCGCGUCUGGUGUGAAAACUCGAGGCUCAACCUCGAGCUUGCAUCGGGUACGGGCAGACUAGAGUGCGGUAGGGGAGACUGGAAUUCCUGGUGUAGCGGUGGAAUGCGCAGAUAUCAGGAGGAACACCGAUGGCGAAGGCAGGUCUCUGGGCCGCAACUGACGCUGAGGAGCGAAAGCAUGGGGAGCGAACAGGAUUAGAUACCCUGGUAGUCCAUGCCGUAAACGUUGGGCACUAGGUGUGGGGCUCAUUCCACGAGUUCCGUGCCGCAGCAAACGCAUUAAGUGCCCCGCCUGGGGAGUACGGCCGCAAGGCUAAAACUCAAAGGAAUUGACGGGGGCCCGCACAAGCGGCGGAGCAUGCGGAUUAAUUCGAUGCAACGCGAAGAACCUUACCAAGGCUUGACAUGCACGAGAAGCCACCAGAGAUGGUGGUCUCCUUUGGACACCUCGUGCCACAGGUGGUGCAUGGUUGUCGUCAGCUCG